UGGGGAAUAUUGCACAAUGGGGGAAACCCGUGAUGCAGCGACGCCGCGUGAGCGAUGAAGUAUUUCGGUAUGUAAAGCUCUAUCAGCAGGGAAGAAUUAAGACGGUACCUGACUAAGAAGCACCGGCUAAAUACGUGCC
rnacentral:rRNA from 1 species